AUGUUUAUCCCAUUAUUGCCCCCACUCCUUCCAUAAUCUAGGAACACAUAACAUCAUCUGAGAAUAGCCCAGAAGCAUGACAAGCAGGACCAUGUUGUGGACUCUUACUGUUCUUUAUACAUGAUACAACUGGAAUUCAGACUAAGAGUAAAACUCUCAAAUGUUAUUAAGUUUCAUCAAAGCUAAUGAAUCAGUAGCUUUGGGUGAUAAUAAAGCUAUUAUCCAUGAAAUAGUUGGUUUUGCCCACUAAAGUGUUUUUGUAUGACAACAAUAAAGAUAGUGCUGGACACUUUCUCAAAAACAUGAUCAAUGUCUUCUAUAUUGCAAGUCACGAUAGUAUUUAGCAAACUUGCUAAUGAAAAUGUGAAACACAGAGAGCCUUCAAGGUGGAAGGCAGCAGACACGACUGUUUAAAGAAUGAGGACACCUCUGAGGCAAAACCUGUUGAAAUUGAAGAAGAGAAUAAAGUUGAAGAAAAGGAAGAUGCUGGAGAAACCCCUACCCGCCCCCCGGCCAGCCACUGUGGCCAUCAUCGUUAAUUUAUGAUCCAUGCAACACAACAUCAAGCCACUAGACCAGAAUACGGAUUCCUCCCAGUGAACAUACUCCAGCAAAUACACCAACAAGAAUGCCUCAAGGCACAGGGGUUGCAAGAAACACCAUCCAAACUGCCCCCCAAACUGUUCUGGCCAUUGACCUCAUACUUUUCAGGAGCUUCCCAGGGCAGCAACUGCCUAGCACCAGAGGACUUUGUUAGUACAGAGAAAUAGUUCAAAUAUGCUAAAAGUGGUUUUUGCAAAAUGAAAAGGUAAGCACUAUGUGGAGAACCUACAGGAGGCCCCUAAGUAUGGACUACAGGCAAAGAA
rnacentral:lncRNA from 10 species